AUUGAACGCUGGCGGCAUGCUUUACACAUGCAAGUCGAACGGCAGCGCGGGCUUCGGCCUGGCUGCGAGUGGCGAACGGGGGAGUAAUGCAUCGGAACGUGCCCAGUAGUGGGGGAUAGCCCGGCGAAAGCCGGAUUAAUACCGCAUACGACCUGAGGGUGAAAGCGGGGGACCGAAAGGCCUCGCGCUAUUGGAGCGGCCGAUGUCGGAUUAGCUAGUUGGUGGGGUAAAGGCUUACCAAGGCGACGAUCCGUAGCUGGUCUGAGAGGGCGACCAGCCACACUGGAACUGAGACACGGCCCAGACUCCUACGGGAGGCAGCAGUGGGGAAUUUUGGACAAUGGGGGCAACCCUGAUCCAGCCAUGCCGCGUGCGGGAAGAAGGCCUUCGGGUUGUAAACCGCUUUUGUUCGGGAAGAAAUACUCUGGGCUAAUACCCCGGGGGGAUGACGGUACCGGAAGAAUAAGCACCGGCUAACUACGUG
rnacentral:rRNA from 1 species